rnacentral:rRNA from 1 species
GACGGAGGGUGCUAGCGUUGUUCGGAAUUACUGGGCGUAAAGGGCGCGUAGGCGGCCGCUCAAGUCGGGUGUGAAAGCCCGGGGCUCAACCCCGGAACUGCACUCGAGACUGUGUGGCUGGAGAUCGGAAGAGGAGAGUGGAACACCCAGUGUAGAGGUGAAAUGCGCAGAUAUCAGGAGGAACACCAAUGGCGAAGGCAGCACGCUGGGACGUGACUGACGCUGAGACGCGAAAGCGUGGGGAGCAAACAGG